UAAGGUAGAAAAGAUAUCAAAGAAACAGGAUGAAGGUAUAGUUGUUAACAAAUUCAAACCUAAGGAACCAUACAUUGGGAGGUGUCUUCUCAACACAAAGAUCACUGGUGAUGAUGCACCUGGUGAAACUUGGCACAUGGUUUUCAGCACUGAGGGUGUGUGCUCAUACAUUUUAUUUUCUCUAUUAGUACUUUUUCCUUCACUUUUUAUAACAAGCUUUUGAAUUGUAGUUAUAUCAAAAGACUAAUAUUUGUAUUAUUAUUAUUAUAGGAGAGGUUCCUUACAGAGAAGGACAAUCAAUUGGAGUAGUUCCUGAUGGUAUUGACAAGAAUGGCAAGCCUCACAAGCUGAGAUUGUAUUCAAUUGCUAGUAGUGCCAUUGGUGAUUUUGGAGACUCCAAAACUGUGAGUCUUAUUGAAUUUGUGUCAUUGACAAGUACUAUAAGUCUAUAACUAUAUGCUAAGUUUUACUUUUACCUGAUUUCAUAUGAUGCCUUGAUGCAGGUUUCCCUAUGUGUGAAACGUCUUGUGUACACAAAUGACAGUGGAGAAGUUGUCAAGGGAGUCUGCUCAAAUUUCUUGUGUAAGGAUGAAUGCUUUUACUUUUGCAUUUUAGUGUAUGUUUUUGUAUAAGGUUUUGAGUGUAAAUAUGUCGUGUCCACUACUCUUAGUUGUUUGUAACUUUCAAAGGUUAAAUAUAUUUUUAUGUCCCUAUAAGAAUCCUUACAACAGACGGGUAACUAACUUGACUUGUUCUAGAAGAAAUUUAGUUAUAUUUCUCAUCUGAUUAAGUCAAAGAGUAUUUUUGCAUUUAGUACUAAUGAUAUCUACCUUUUACAUCAAUCACCAUUCUGGUCCUCUUUGUUCAGGUGACUUGAAGCCUGGAUCUGAAGUAAAGAUUACUGGACCAGUUGGUAAAGAAAUGCUUAUGCCAAAAGAUCCUAAUGCCACCAUCAUCAUGGUAUAUUACUUAAUCAUCUCCAUCUAUAUUGAAAAUGAUAAUUGAGCCUUUUCUUUAGUCGCGAUUAUUGUUUUGAUUUUCUCCCUUGAUCUUUAAAAUGUAUUCUGCAGUUGGGAACUGGAACUGGAAUUGCUCCAUUUCGCUCAUUUUUAUGGAAAAUGUUCUUCGAAAAGCACGAAGAUUAUCAGGUAAGUGUACACAAAACUUGCAUACUUCUUGACUAAAGCAUGAAGAAACUCAAAGUUUAGUAUUAUAAAAAAGAUGUUUUUGUGCUAACCAUAUUUGAGAUUAACUUAGUUUUGAGCUUUGGUCAUAUAUGAUAUUUGUAGUUCAAUGGUUUGGCAUGGCUCUUCUUAGGUGUCCCCACAAGCAGUUCAUUGCUUUAUAAGGAGGUUAGAUGAAUCAAACUUUUUCUCACAAUUCAAGAACAUAAGCUACUUGCUUUGUACAAUGGAAAGCUUAUACUACUAUGAUUGUGUGUGACAGGAAUUUGAAAAGAUGAAGGAGAAAGCACCUGAGAACUUCAGGCUUGACUUUGCUGUGAGUAGAGAGCAAGUAAACGAAAAAGGAGAGAAAAUGUACAUCCAAACCAGAAUGGCUCAAUAUGCAGAAGAGUUGUGGGAGUUACUUAAGAAAGACAACACUUUUGUUUACAUGUGUGGACUCAAAGGAAUGGAAAAGGGAAUUGAUGACAUAAUGGUGUCACUCGCUGCCAAAGACGGUAAGAAACAUAAAUGAGUCAUGAUCAUUCCGAAUUUUAACCAAAAAGAAAGUAAAGUCUGACUAAUGAUUAUUUCAGCUAAGAUGAACAAUUCGUCAUUAAGUUGAAUUUUCAUUACAACAUACAAAAGAGAAUUGGACAAAUUCAAGUCAUGAUUAUGUCGUGUUUGUUAUGUGUUAU
rnacentral:lncRNA from 1 species